rnacentral:rRNA from 1 species
UACGGAGGGUGCAAGCGUUAUCCGGAUUCACUGGGUUUAAAGGGUGCGUAGGAGGGCAGGUAAGUCAGUGGUGAAAUCCCCGAGCUUAACUUGGGAACUGCCGUUGAUACUAUCUGUCUUGAAUACCGUGGAGGUGAGCGGAAUAUGUCAUGUAGCGGUGAAAUGCUUAGAUAUGACAUAGAACACCAAUUGCGAAGGCAGCUCGCUACACGAAUAUUGACUCUGAGGCACGAAGGCGUGGGGAUCAAACAGG